rnacentral:rRNA from 1 species
CCUACGGGAGGCACCAGUGGGGAAUAUUGGCCAAUGGGGGCAACCCUGAUCCAGCAAUGCCGCGUGUGUGAAGAAGCCCUGCGGGUUGUAAACCACUUUCAGUAGAGAAGAAAAGCUUCAGGGUUAAUAACCCGGAGUCUUGACGUACCCACAGAAGAAGCNCCGGCUAA